GAUGAACGCUGGCGGCGUGCUUAACACAUGCAAGUCGAACGGACCAUAUUCGUAUGGUUAGUGGCAGACGGGUGCGUAACACGUGGGUGACCUGCCCUUAAGUGGGGAAUAACUCCGCUAACGCGGAGCUAAUACCGCAUAUGUUCGCUGAUUCAGUUUGGCGAGUAAAGCAGCAAUGCGCUUAGGGAGGGGCCUGCGGCGGAUUAGGUAGUUGGUGGGGUAACGGCCUACCAAGCCGAUGAUCCGUAGGGGGCGUGAGAGCGUGGCCCCCCACACUGGCACUGAGACACGGGCCAGACUCCUACGGGAGGCAGCAGUGAGGAAUAUUGCACAAUGGGCGAAAGCCUGAUGCAGCGACGCCGCGUGAGGGAUGACGGCCUUGGGUUGUAAACCUCUUUCAGCAGGGAAGAAGCGAAAGUGACGGUACCUGCAGAAGAAGCACCGGCUAACUACGUG
rnacentral:rRNA from 1 species